UAGCAGAGCUGGCUUGG
rnacentral:misc_RNA from 1 species